rnacentral:rRNA from 1 species
AGCCAGACUCCUACGGGAGGCAGCAGUGGGGAAUAUUGCACAAUGGGGGAAACCCUGAUGCAGCAACGCCGCGUGAGUGAAGAAGUCUUUCGGUAUGUAAAGCUCUAUCAGCAGGGAAGAAAGAAAUGACGGUACCUGACUAAGAAGCCCCGGCUAACUACGUGCCAGCAGCCGCGGUAAUACGUAGGGGGCGAGCGUUAUCCGGAUUCACUGGGUGUAAAGGGAGCGUAGACGGCCAAGCAAGCCAGGGGUGAAAGCCCGGGGCCCAACCCCGGGACUGCCCUUGGAAUUGCACGGCUGGAGUGCGGGAGGGGCAGGCGGAAUUCCUGGUGUAGCGGUGAAAUGCGUAGAUAUCAGGAGGAACACCGGCGGCGAAGGCGGCCUGCUGGACCGCGACUGACGUUGAGGCUCGAAAGCGUGGGGAGCGAACAGGAUUAGAUACCCGUGUAA